AGAGUUGAUCAUGGCUCAGGAUGAACGCUAGCGACAGGCUAACACAUGCAAGUCGAGGGGCAGCAUAAAAGUAGCAAUACUUGGUGGCGACCGGCGCACGGGUGAGUAACGCGUAUGCAACCUACCUAUCAGAGGGGAAUAACCCGGCGAAAGUCGGACUAAUACUGCAUAAAACAGGGGCACCGCAUGGUGAUAUUUGUUAAAGAAAUUCGCUGAUAGAUGGGCAUGCGUUCCAUUAGGUAGUUGGUGAGGUAACGGCUCACCAAGCCGACGAUGGAUAGGGGAACUGAGAGGUUGGUCCCCCACACUGGUACUGAGACACGGACCAGACUCCUACGGGAGGCAGCAGUGAGGAAUAUUGGUCAAUGGGCGAGAGCCUGAACCAGCCAAGUCGCGUGAAGGAAGAAGGAUCUAUGGUUCGUAAACUUCUUUUGCAGGGGAAUAAAGUGCAGGACGUGUCCUGUUUUGUAUGUACCCUGAGAAUAAGGAUCGGCUAACUCCGUGCCAGCCGCCGC
rnacentral:rRNA from 1 species